UUUUCCCCACAGAGCGGAAAUGAGUCAAACUCUAAGUGUCAUGAAACAUUCCUUUAGUCUACCAGAAGAAAUUUCAGUGAUUUUGCACAAUUCCUUCUUCUAUUGUCACCUUUGGCAGGAACCAAAGAGAAAAAGAAGGGAAAAAGCACAUGCAAUACUAUAAUACAGCCACAGAAAAGAAAACAAUGUUUACCGAUGCUACAAUAGAAAACAAAAAAAAAAGAAAGCAGGCACAUGAUGAGGAUCAAAGAAGUGGAGACAAUUAUGUGUAGGGAUUGUGUUGAAAAGGAUGAAGACACAAAGGUUGCAUAGAGAACCUCGGGAUAUUAUUUGGUGUACCACGUAAGACACAAAGAUGUUCCUAGAAUGACAAAUGUCGUCUAUCCUGUAAUGGUACUAUAAGGAUCCUCGGGUUUUGGGUGAAAGAAUGUCAUUGAGCUAGAAACAAAUCCACCAUCACCGGCAGAACAAGUGUAUAAAUUCUCCCAAUUCAGCUUCUGAGGUGGGUGUUUGCUCUUGAAUGAGGGAAGGAAGCUAAACAGCGAAUUCUGGGAUUUUACAGAUGUGUAUAUCAUUCCCGGUUAAUAAUCAUGUACAUCGCAGAAAAGUGGGAAGCAUUCUCAGUCAGAGUUUUUUUGCCUCCUGCAGUAUGAAUAAAGAAUCGACACCAUAUUGAUGCAACGAUGUGCGGCGAAGAAGCAGAUUGCAAGGUGGUUGUAAAGAAUUGAAAGAUUAGGUGUAUAAUAAAGAUAACACAAACAUAGUGAUAUAGAAUUACUAGAUGACCCCUGCCACGGUGGGAUGGCCGACCGAAGAAAUCGACACAAAAUAUCUUUUUUCCUCGCACGGUGCGAAAGUAUCAUUUUUCCUGACACGGGGUGAAAGUGUUAUUUUUUCUUGAAACGGGAAAUUACUCGAUGCAUAAACCAAAAUAUGGUUGCAUAAUGUGUUAUUCAUCCUUUGUGGUGGUUUGCACAAUGGUUAUGCAUUCAAUUUUCGAAAAUUGUGCAUAAAAUGAACAACUUGGUAUAGGGGCGUCAAGUUCUGGUAGAGGGGCGGCAAUCUAAUAAGACAAAAA